GGCAUGGAGGAGGACGAGGAUGAGACCGCCUCCAAUUCGCCGCGGCGAGAGGAUUAGAGCAGCUGACCUGACCUCAAUCAUGGUCCCUGUAAUUUUCUAAUGAGUGCCCCGUUAAUUCGUCGAACCGCUAAUGUGGUAGCACUAGUAGUACCUCGUAGUAAUCAUCAGUCCCAACUUAUCAGGAGAAACAAACUGAGCUCAAGCAAUCAGCAAACCGAGCUCAAGCAAUCAAACACCUCACCAUGUUUGACGAGUGAGCCGAGAGAGCUCACUGUGAAUCAAAGAGUUCAUGUUCCAAG
rnacentral:lncRNA from 1 species